UCUGCCGGUCUUCGUCUGCGGUGGCCCGAAA
rnacentral:piRNA from 1 species